rnacentral:tRNA from 1 species
GGUACCGUGGUGAAGUGGCUUAACACGGCUGUUUGCAAAACAGUUAUUCGCCGGUUCGAAUCCGGCCGGUACCUCCA